UUGUGAGUAGUACAUAAAUUAAAUUUGUUUUCCGUCGAAUGUUUCCUGCUUGCAUCCAUAAAGAGUUUCAGCUCCUCCACGAGAGCUCGAAUUUUUCAAUAGGAUUUUUCUUUUAUUCGAUCGCGUUUUCUCAUAUUUUAGUUGAGUGUAUUUCCUGUGAUUCCGCAUAGAAUGCAUUCGUACGAAAUGAGUGAACUUUUUCAGCUUGCAAAAUAUACGAGGAAAGACCAGUGUGCAGUGUGAUCAGCGUGCAAAUAGGUAAUAUGUACGUGCCUAUUCCGUCAUGUUUAUUCCAUCACGAGAGAGAUUAGAUUAUUGGUUAUCCCGCAACGUUAUCGAAAGAUAUCGAAGAGAAAAAAAUGGGCUCUGUUGCCAGAUCGACUGAUGGGUGUGUUCCUUGCCUCCGUCACGUUCUUGCUCGUUCCAGACUUUUUUUUAAAACGAAAACGAGCUUUCCAGAAUUCAGAAAAGAUCAAUCUGCCCGCAUAUAUUGCUUUUUUUCACAGUCUAAUAUUUACCCAUAAAUAGAGACGCUUUCGAGGAGGAUAAAGUGAAAAGAAGCCUUCGUCAAAGGCAGGCCGAAUAUACGCCAUAAGAUUUCUAACUCAAUAAGUGCAACGCGGCGACGGCUCGAAUGAUAUCCUCACCAAGAUCUAGAUGGCUAUAUAGUGCAGUUUGCCACGGCAGUGUGCUCACGAAGUGCUGCUACAAAUUACGGGGCAUAACGGUGUCGCUAAUUAAAGCACCGUCGCGGGAAUGGCUCAGUGCUAAAUGCGAGAAGCAAGAGGAAGAGCAGGGAGAGAGAGAGAGAAGGACCUGGGCACGAGCUACCGAAGCGUCGCUUUCCAAAGGAAAUUUCUUUGCCAACGCUGCGCCGAUGAAUUUUUCGUCUCUGCAUCACCGAAAGAAAUGUUACUCCACCGUUGGAACAUUCAUGUACAACCGACUAUAAAUUCUUCACUGACGUUCGCGCGGAUUACGUGGCUCGUAUAUAGAAACGAAAAGAUGGCUAGAGGCGGAAAUAGUGGGAGAAAAAGAGACGAGAUUCGGUGAAGCUACGCAGUCACUCGGCAAUGCAUCUCUCUAGACGUUAUAUAAAUACGACUAUCCAAUCUAAAGGCAGUUGGAAAGUGCAGUCCCAUCGUCUGCCAUCCUUCACUUUCAUAUUUGCGUCCAGGAUGAGUUUAGCAACAUGCGCCCAAGGAUCAAUUGCUUGCGAACGUAAAGUUGUAAGCCGCAAUUCUUAUCAGGAAAUGGAAAAUAAAUGUCAGAAAGGUCUGGGGUUUACAAUGCCAGACCCAUAAAUCA